rnacentral:rRNA from 1 species
UACGAAGGGGGCUAGCGUUGCUCGGAAUCACUGGGCGUAAAGGGUGCGUAGGCGGGUCUUUAAGUCAGGGGUGAAAUCCUGGAGCUCAACUCCAGAACUGCCUUUGAUACUGAAGAUCUUGAGUUCGGGAGAGGUGAGUGGAACUGCGAAGUGUAGAGGUGAAAUUCGUAGAUAUUCGCAAGAACACCAGUGGCGAAGGCGGCUCACUGGCCCGAUACUGACGCUGAGGCACGAAAGCGUGGGGAGCAA